AUGGAGAAGACUAAAGAAACAGCUGCUAACAUUGGUGCUUCAGCCAAAUCUGGUUUGGAGAAGACCAAAGCCAACGUUCAAGAAAAGACUGACAAGUUGACGGCACAUAGUCCGUUGGAAAAGGAGAUGGCAACACAGAAGAAGAAUGCAAAGGUUGCCCAGGCUGAGCUGAAUAAGCAGGCGGCGCGUGCUCAGAAUGCUGCGGCAACCGCCGGAAACAACUUGGGGGUGGGUGGACACCACACCACUUGA